AUGUGUCACUUUUCGGAUUUCGAGAUUCAAACAAGUCUAACUUUGACCGUAAGUUUUUCAUAGAUUUUUUAAAUAUUUUGAAUUAUUAAUUAUUGUGACUUAUAGUACUUUUUACGUAGUUUACAAAUAUAUAAAUUUCAUUUCAAAAAAAUUGAAGAUUUCAUGCAUAAAUUUCUAGUCAAACUUAAAUUGUUUGACUCUCGAAAAACGAAAAGUGUCACAUAA
rfam:Solanum tuberosum cultivar DM 1-3 516 R44 scf01281_2, whole genome shotgun sequence.